AUUUCAAAUAGUUUAAUCAAUAUUAACAUAAAAUAUUUGAGGUUUAUUAAUUCAAUAUAGGUGUUUAAUCCAAUGUGAGACUGAAUGACGUUUUUCGUUAUUUAUCUUGCCAGAGUUCUAACGGCGUCAGCCCUGUUAUUAUCCACAUUAUUUUUUUUUAAAACGCAACAUAGAAAGUGUAACAGUGGUUACCUUGACCAAGUUUAUUUGAAAUUUUAUCAGCUGCAGUGCGUAAUCAACAGCGAAUUUAGAGCAUGAGAUAAAACCGACCUGAAAUACUAUUAACGAACAGCAACGAGGUAGAAGCUGUGUGGACAGAUCAUAGUACCGGUACCGAGCCGAAAACCUUGCAUCUCAGAUACCUUACUAGGAUAAAAGGAAGAAAGACCUCAAAGGCUUUGUUUCCCACUGCACCACACAACCGAGAGGGAUUACUGGGUUUGAAAGCAAUCCUAGCGCUGAGGUUAAGAAAUAAUUGAGUUAAAUGAACUUUCAUUUCAAUAAUCCCAACUGAUAACACUGUCUGCAAGUACCAACGCAUUUUCAUUUUCAAUCCAGAUAUUUGAAUCAUCAGGUGACCUCACUCUCAGCGCCUGCAUCUCCCACACUACAUUUCACGGCACCCAGAGAUAGUGAACUUGGAUUAAACAAGAAGUAGAAAGGCAUUUUUCUUUUGGAUACUUUAAAUACUUGAACUGAUGUUGAAAGUAUAAUUAAGAAAUAGCUGUUUUGAAAUCUGGUGCUGAAUACAUAGUGUCCCACCUGCAUACUUCCUAAUGAACAUGAGCAACUUUGUUUCAAAUGCAGGGAUAAAUCUGAUGAUAUGAAUUCUACCAACUGACUUGCAACAGCAAAACCUGGCAAAUUUGGCAGCUUGUAACUUUCUUUCAUGUAUUCCACUUCAAAAAUCAACUUUGCAGUUAAUUCAACUGGGAAAUUAAGUAAAAAUAUAUAGAGUUUUAUGGAACAAACUGCAAUUUCAAGAGCAAGAUCAACCCCAAGACAUUUCUAGUUUAGAAAUGGAGGUAAAUGGUCAUUCUGAAGUGAUACUAUUCACAUGUAUCCUCCACAUUCCAAUUAUAAUGAUCUGAUCUAUUCAAAGAUGGUUACAUCUCUUGUCAGCAAAAUGCUUUCAAUUUGAAAAUUUUUAAUUAAUGAACAUCACUGACAACAGGAUACUGAAACUAACGGUAACAAAAAUGCUUACUUGAUUCAGAUGUUUAUUGUAAUAUUGCCAUUUAAAACACUUAAAAUCAGAGUAAUCACAUAGAUAAAAAGGAUGAGUUGAUUUAUGUACUGCAGAAUGGAACUUCUCAUUUCAGUGCUCCAGUUUCAUAAGUGGAUUUGAAAACUAUCGAAAAUAAAAAUCACAGUUCUGCAUUAAAGGUUUCUGGUUUGAAAACCCAUUUUCCUUUAGAUUUUCCCCCUACCGCCCCCAUUCACAAUCGCAUGGAAGGCUCCUAUUCACUUCAAGCUGUCACUCAUACCCGAGCUUUCAUCUUGUCGAGGUGAUCUCUUUCCUUUAUGAUAGUUUUCAAAAGUAAACCUGAAAUAUUUUAAAAUCCAAGUAGUUACAUUUCUAAUUACCAAUAUGAGAA